rnacentral:rRNA from 1 species
AGCUCCAAUAGCGUAUAUUAAAGUUGUUGCAGUUAAAAAGCUCGUAGUUGAAUUUCUGAUAGAAGGGAGCGGUUCCGCAUUCUUGCGGAUACUGGCUCGUCUUCCGUCAUCCUUGGGCUUAGUCUCGCUGAUAUUAACUUAUCGGCGUGGACGAUGCCCAUCGUUUACUGUGAGCAAAUUAGAGUGUUCAAAGCAGGCAUUUUGCCUUGAAUAUAUUAGCAUGGAAUAAUAAGAUAGGAUUUCACGAUUUUAUUUUGUUGGUUUGCGUUGUGAAAUAAUGAUUAAGAGGGACAGUUGUGGGUAUUCGUAUUCAGAUGUCAGAGGUGAAAUUCUUAGAUUAUCGGAAGACGAACGACUGCGAAAGCAUUUACCAAGGAUGUUUUCA